rnacentral:rRNA from 1 species
UACGGGGGGGAGCAAGCGUUGUUCGGAUUUACUGGGCGUAAAGGGCGCGUAGGCGGUCGUGACAAGUCACUUGUGAAAUCUCCGGGCUUAACUCGGAACGGUCAAGUGAUACUGUCGGACUAGAGUACAGAAGGGGCAACUGGAAUUCUCGGUGUAGCGGUGAAAUGCGUAGAUAUCGAGAGGAACACCUGCGGCGAAGGCGGGUUGCUGGGCUGAUACUGACGCUGAGGUGCGAAAGCGUGGGGAGCAAACAGG